rnacentral:rRNA from 1 species
UACGAAGGGGGCUAGCGUUGCUCGGAAUCACUGGGCGUAAAGCGCACGUAGGCGGCUUCUUAAGUCAGGGGUGAAAUCCUGGAGCUCAACUCCAGAACUGCCUUUGAUACUGAGGAGCUUGAGUCCGGGAGAGGUGAGUGGAACUGCGAGUGUAGAGGUGAAAUUCGUAGAUAUUCGCAAGAACACCAGUGGCGAAGGCGGCUCACUGGCCCGUAACUGACGCUGAGGCGCGAAAGCGUGGGGAGCAAACGGG